AACGCACGUGAGCCCCCCUGUCUCUAUAAAACCAAAGAAACUUAACCUCUAGGUGAAAAGGCCUAGAUACCACUAAAAGACAAGAAGACCCUAUCGAGCUUCAUUACCCCUUGGUAAGACAAGCCAUUAAUAUCCACCUUUUUGUACCAAGAAAUAAUUCAGUUGGGGCAACUGAGGAACACCAAAAACUUCCUUUUUAUCUUCUCUAGUCAUUUGACCCAGAGCUUCUGAACAAAAGACCAAGCUACCGUAGGGAUAACAGGUUAAUUUUUCUCGAGAGCCCACAUUGACAGAAAAGUUUGGCACCUCGAUGUUGG
rnacentral:rRNA from 1 species